GGAAAUUCUCAGAUCAUAACUUACCCCCUUUCCAAUAAGAAUGUCAAGAUGCUUUCCAAGGGUCAAUGGAAAUUAUCGUGGCUUAUUUGAUGACCUUAACAUUUCCCCCCUACAUACACGCUGCAUUUCUUGUUUGUUUCUGGCCAGUGGGUGCCUCUGCUGACAAAAAUAGCACUAGCUUCUCUGUUACUUCCCAGAACUGCAUGAAACCCCGGCUGCGUUAGCCCGGUGAGGCCACACCACUAGCACAGCCCAGAAGGGCUGGAGGCAGACCCCGCACUCCUAAAUCCUAGAUGUGCGCAUUUGCCUCAGAUCCCUCUGCCCUCCUUUCUCCCUAUAAAACUCCCUGACUUCCUUCUGAAACGUUGGGGCCAGCAUUUUUUCAGGUUCUCAAGGGGAAGUCGUGGUGUCAGCCAAGGACACUUGACCCGGGUUUUCUGGAUAACCUGAAGACCUCCCAGCUUCGGUUGCCAAUGAGAAGAUAGUCCUGGGUUUGUGCACUCUCGCUCCUGUCUCCUCUGUACCUCAGCCUGUCUGUCAUCCACGCCCUUCCUUCCCUUGGCCACACCCAGCUCUCUCGGCACCUCAGAUGUUUAUCUGAAUGGCUGCAGAGGAUCUGCUCCUCUCCAGACUGCUCCCACACACACCUUCUCCCUGCUUCUCCAGGGCCUCGUUCUCUCCGUCUUAAUUCAUCCAGCUGCUCCUGUGUCCCUCUCCAUGCCCUCGCCAGCCCUCCAGCUUCCUUGCUGCCUCACCUUCCCCCGCCUCCACCACCAUCUCCCUACACAGGCGCCUCCUCCGUCCCCAGGCCCCCACUGUGCUAGAUCCAAUAGCCUUCCCUCCUCCCCAUUCUCCUUGGCUGUUUGAAGGCUCUUGGCCCUACUAAACGCCCCUUCCUUCCUAAAACUCCCUCACCCUUUGGUGGCUCAAAUCAUGCUACUUUCUGACCAUACUUCCGCUCUCUCCCUCAGUGGCUUCUGACUGAGGAUUGCCCUGUGUGAUAUAGAUGUUGAUGUAGCCGUUUUUAAGUCUGUCAGGAUGGCCAGUCGUUAGUGCCAUCAACAUUCCUAACAAAGGAGCAGAACACCUGGCAAAGACAUGAGUUGCUGGUCACUGGAGUCUGUCGAGGACAUAUGGACACUGAGUGGUAACUUGGAGCGGGUGACCUGGGAAUGGCCCUCAGGACUCUGUGAUCCUCUGACAGUUGGAAACAGAACCACGACAGAGCUCAUCUAAAAGGAAAAAUUCAAGGCUCCUGAAAUGAAUUAAAUUCAGGUGGGCCGUGUACUAGUUUGGGUUUUUGGCAGCAAAAAAAUUGAAACCAAUUCUGGCUACUUAAGUAGAAAAGGAACGUACUGAAAGGGCUUCAGGCAACUGACAGUUGUCAAGAAGACUGAAGAACCAUGAGAAAAUGGCCAGGAAAAGGGAAGGGUAGGCAGCCUAGGGAAGGACUCCAGCACCAGCAGCACCCAGGAAUAAGGCGCUGGAUGACGCAGACACCAGGAUGGAGCCUAAGCAGUCCCGGCUAGCUUGUGUCACUUGCUCCAGAUUUAAACGCCUGAGUUUAGGUCACAAGCCCAUGCUGUAGCUGACAAAGAUCAGAGACAAUAUCUGGCCUUUAAAUUAUCAGUAGUGGGAUGCAGAACCCCAGCUCCCACCAAAAUUCAUAGAAUGUCAGAUUUCCCCAAAUGUGGGGAAAGGAGUUCAGUGGCUGAAUAACC
rnacentral:lncRNA from 1 species